ensembl:snRNA U6 U6 spliceosomal RNA
AUGCUUCCUUCAGCUGCACAUCUACUAAAAUUGGAUUGAUACAGAGAAGAUUAACAUGGCCCCGGCACAUGACAUGCUAUUUUGUGAAAUGCUUGUAUUUUGU